UGACUUCUCCCUCUCUGUCUGCCUUUGACGUGCAGCACAGGGAUUCAGAGACCAUCUGCAGCGUUACUCUGGGAAAAAGUGCAUUGCUGAUGCCAUGAAAGGGAAGUAUUAGUAAAGGGUUGAUGGUGAAGAUGAAGUUCUCUUACUCUUCCCCAUAUAUCUGCAUCUGCCAGAGGGGAAUCCACCUGCAGAUAGGGUGAAAAACAUAUACCACAAAAUGAAUACAUUGCAUAGCACAUAAGCUUCACAGCUUAACACAUGAAUACUGACACCUUCAAAGUGAGUGGUUAAACAUAUAAAGAAUGAUAGAUCUUCUUUGCCUAUAUUUUGGCUAUAGAAAAUGUAAAAUAAUACAAGGUCUCAGUGUUUAGUAAGCAAAUGUGAAGAGACAGACAUCAGCUAACUACUGAAGACUACAUUUUGUUAAUAAAAGGCUGCUACACAGCAGCUUUUUCUCACAGAUAGAGGAAAAACUCUUUGGAUGAUGUCACUGAAGACAGAAUGUGAGUGCAUCGUAAGUGGUCAGUAAGAUUUCAUAAAAAUGUUGCAGAUAACCCUUGAGGAUGAAGGCUCUUAGCUUUGCCAUCCAUCUUUACAGGCUGCUGCUAAAUUUUCUCAAGCUGUAGAGCAUUAUUUAUGCAGAGCAGCAUCUUCCUGCAGCUUGUUUAUUCAUUCUGCCUCAGUUUGGGCAACAUCAAGAAUGACAGCACCACAUGUCCUCUGUGGAGGCUGGAAACUUGGGCCAGGACUUUUUGAAGCAGGGUUCCUGGAGAUAAUGAUAUACUAUAGCCAGCGGAGGUGAACAUCUGUUUUAAGAACUGUGAACUUGCA
rnacentral:lncRNA from 1 species